rnacentral:rRNA from 1 species
AUUGAACGCUGGCGGCAGGCUUAACACAUGCUAGUCGAACGAGUGGCGGACGGGAGAGUAAUGCUUGGGAAUCUAGCUUAUGGAGGGGGUUAACUACGGUAAAAUGUAGAUAAUACCGCGUACCAUAGGAUGAGCCCAAGUGGGAUUAGGUAGUUGGUGAGGUACAGGCUAACCAAGCCGAAGAUCUCUAGCUGGUAUGAGAGGAUGACAGUCGAUACUGAGACUGAGACGCGGCGCAAACUCCUACGGGAGGCAGCAGUAGGGAAUAUUGCGCAAGGGAGGCAACCUGACACAGCCAAACCGCGAGAAUGAAUAAGACCUUCGGAUUGUAAAGUGCUUUCGGUAGCGAGGCGGUAACUACAGGAGAAGCACCGGCUAACUCCGUGCCAGCAGCCGCGGUAAUAC